rnacentral:lncRNA from 1 species
UUUCAAACGCCACUGAUGGCGCCUUAAACGGAUUUUCCUACACCAAGAUAUCAACAUUUUAUUGAGACUGGUCAGGGUAUCCAAAAAUCUGAAAUUUCAAUUUUUCACUUGUGAAAAUUCCUUUUUCUCUUUUAACACCAAAAUGUUUUUAUUCAAACCAUCUUUAUACUUCUUGUAGAACUUCAAAACAACAUUUUCCAGGCAUUGCCAUCCAUUAUAUGUCCAAGAAAAUUUCCAAAAAUCCAAGUUGAUAUUUCAACUCAACUUUCGGCAGCCACAAGAAAGUUUCCAGCAUUUGUAUACCCACAUGUUUGGUUAAAUCAUUCAAGAUAUCAAAUAUUUCCUUGCUAAACAAAUUAUACAAUUUAAAACUUACAACCCUUUUGUACUUCCAAACCAUCAUACUUCCAGGAAAAUAAAAUAAAUUACCAAAAAAAAACCAAUUAAACUCCAAAGACAAACUGAAAUUGCUGGUUCAACCUGGCUAGCGGUCUCCAACAUUUUCCCAGCAACCAAUACGCUUUAAAUCAAAUUUUCCCUUGGUUUAAACAUGGUGCUAGGUACUCAAUUUCAGCAUAUAAACACCUAGCUAGUUGUUAAAAAUUUCCACUUCAAAACCAGGUUCAUAUAACAAUUUAAAAAAAAAAAUCAGAAAUCUCAUCCAACUAGUUACGGUUGAAUCAUGCAUGAAGGCUUUCUGUUUUCAUUUCAUUUUAUGGUUUUAAACAUGCCUUUAACCUCUCAAUUUCCUUAUAUACUUAUCUGGCUAGCAAGUAAACGUUUCCAGUUCAGAAAUCAAGCUCAAACAACAACCGUUAACAUCAAAAUUUUCCAAAAUUUCCCUGCUUGACCCGGUUGAUCAUGCCCUGAGGCAGAUUGCACUCUUAAUUUUAUUUCCCUGUUUUAACAAACUAAUCGGCCCCAUGUAGAGCCUAAUUACUUGUUAUUAGCUAUCUAAUUAUGAUUAUAAGCUUAAACCACAAAAUUAACACCAAAUAAACCAGAUCAAAGCGGAAAUAUCAAGUCAAAUUCUCGGCAGAACUUUUACUUCCAAAGCAGAAUUUUUCUAAGACUUUGAUUUCAUUAACCGGCUGCCUAAAAUUACAUGCAACCUCUGAUAAGACUUCCUCUGCUAAUACUUAACUUAAUUAGCCCAGAAAUUUACCUCAGAUACACUCCAAACCUACGCACAGAAAUCUGGAAUUUUCUUCUUUCCUCUCGGCUCUCACGCACCCUGUUUGGUCCUGCGUUCAAUUUGCAGUUGGAAAUGGUGUUGUGAUGAAGGUGGUUGCAGCUGGUGGAUGUUGGUCUGAGGUUGACAAAGGUAGUGUUGUUUCCCUGGUCUCUUCCCUCAGCCUACGGACAGAGUAGAGACAAAAUGAAAAUGCAGCUCGCGGCUUUUCUUCAGUCGAUACUCACGAGGAGCAGCUCUCCCUCUCUUGCUCUCGGAUGCUACCUUUUCACGAUGAAGAUGGAGUGCAGUGGUUUCGGUGGAGUUGUGCAGAAAAGAAAUGGAAUUUGAUGAAGGUGGUGUCUCGGUAUUUAGAAAGGAGAAAUGGUUUGCGGUUUGGUUUUGUGCAGAGAAGGAAUUGGUAUUGUGUGUUGUGGUUGUGAAAUAGAGCAAAUGGUAUCGUGGUUUUGUGAUAUGAAUUGGAUUGGUAGUAUGAAGAAAUAUUGUGGGGCCGUGGUUUUAAGAUGUGAAAUAGAUUGAGUGGUAUUAGGAAGUAUUGUGGUUUGAGACGUGAAACAAAGAGAAUGAUACAAGUGCCGCUGUUUAGGAGAAUGGUUUGCGUGUAAGAGCGGCUUGCGUACAAUUUUGGUAAUAACUGCGUGAUUUGAUUUGCAGUCAGACGUCUCGUUUGGUUUGCAUGGAAAGGUAAGGUAAGGGUAUUUUAGUCUUUUCACUUCGCUCCUUAAUCUCAACUUAAUUUCGCAAAUCCGACUUAAUUCUAAAAAUUAUCCCCAAGCGCGAUUCAAACGCGUAGUUAUACUCUAAUAUACCUAAACCAUUUUUUUUUUAUCGAAUAAUUAUCGAUUAAACUUGAAUAUUAAGGUUCCUAGUAAUUCUUAUAUUAAUUAGCGAUUAAAUUUGUUAUUAGAAUUUCCAAUUAUUAUUUCUCAAGUAAUAGAGUUAGUCUAACUCGAAAUUUAUCGAUUUAGUAAUAUAAAGUCAAAUGAAAUAAUAAUUUAAUCCAAGGGUGCCAAUUUGCAUAUAAAAAUUAUUUUUACGCACUUACUUGAAAAACAAAGAAAGAUAAGGAUAUAUUUAUCGAAUUUUCACGCCUUAAGUAUGUUUAGUAUAUUAGAAUCAUAUUUAUCUAAAAUUCAUUGGUUUUCAUCUUAACGCGAAAAUUCUUAUUAACAUUUAACAUUAGCAACUAAUUGGAAUUAAUCAUAAGGAUUUAAAUAAUUUAUUUUAAGAUAGUAAAUUUAACAAUUCAAUUAUCAUAAUUUUAGCAUAAAGGGAUUAAGUAAACUAACAUUUUAUUUUAAGGCGAAAAAUUAUUCCAACCCUAAAGAUAUUAAUUUAGCCAAAUAAAACCAAGAAAUUUCAUAACUUAGGAAAAAUUAUAUUAUUUUUCACAUAAUCUAAUUUUACGUACUUAAUCGCAAACAAGUAAAAGUAAUGCUAGAAAUUAUUAAGGAAUAAAAGAAAUGCAAAUGAAAUAUGCACUGGCUUAUAUAUCUAUUUUCAGGGUUCUCACAUCCUCUCCUCCUUAAAAUGAAUUUUGUCCUCAAAAUUCUCACCUUCUUGCAUUUUUGGGCAACCGGCAAUUUGGUGCUCGCUGCUACCACACCUCAAGCACUUUCCUCCCUUUUUCCAGCAUUCGUUCUCAAUAUGACCAGCCUUCCUGCAAUACCCACAAGUUACUUGAGAGGUGGUCACACGGCCUCCUUGUGGGGCGUUCCUAAGUUGGUUCCUUCCACUUGGCCCUCCAUUAGCUCCAUUAUCUCUUUCUCCGGCACCUCUAGCACCAGCUCCUCUUGCUAGAGCGCCUCGUGGUGCUCCAUGAUUACUUACUCCACCCGUUCCUCGACCCACUUUGGCCGGUGGAGCAUUAUAAGUCGGCUCCCGACUGCUGCUAGGUGCAAAUCUUUUCUUGGCCUGGAAAGUUUUUACUUGAGCUCUGGCAACUUCAACCCUUUGAGCUCUCUCUACAGCUUCAGCAAAUGUGUCUAUUCGAACAGCAGCUAAUCCCUCCUGAAUUUCCACGUUCAGUCCCUGCACAAACCUCCUUACACGCCUUUGUUCCGUAGCUACCAAUUCCGGAGCAUAACGGGACAAUUUCGUGAAUUGAAUCUCAUAUUCGGCGACACUCAUCGCCCCCUGCCUACACUUGAUGAAAUCAUCCUCUCUUUUCUCUUGGAUGAGAGGAGGAAGAAAUUUGGCGUUGAAUUCCCUAGUGAAGUUCGCCCAAGUCCUGGGAGUAUGGUUCCUAUCCCAAUUAACCCUAACUAGGUUCCACCAGGAACGAGCAGCUCCCUCAAACUGGAAUGCUGCGAAAGUCACUUGCCUCUCUUCCGGAUAAUUUAGGGCGGCAAAAAUAUCAGAGAUCCUCUCCCACCAACCUUCGGCUACCUCAGGUUCUGGCCCUCCGUAGAACUUAGGAGGUCCAAACUUCAGGAAUCUCUCUAAUGCCCAAUCCUCAGAAUCGAUUGGGCCUCCUUGCUGAUGCACCGCUCCAUGAGCUUGGUGCUCAGUCAUGCGCUCUAACACAUCAGUUAUUCUAUUGAUUGCGGUGGCCACGGAAUCUCCGGCCACGUUUCCCUGAUCAUGGUCUGGGUUGACCUCAGGUUCCCUAUCACCACUACCCUCGGGGUGUUGCCUAGCUGGUCUCCCACGUCCUCUACCUCUAACUUGGAGAUCCAUAGCCUAGUUAUGCCUAUUAUUGGAAAAUAAGGCAUUUAGGCGAGAAUAGAAACAUUUAUUAUAUUAUUAUCCUUUCUGUAAGUAAAAUCAAUAUGAAAAUUGAGAAAAAGGAGAGUUAAUUAGUCAUGUAACUUAUUCAACUAUAUCAUGUAUUCAAAUCACUCAAAUCACAGUAUUCCUAUCUUAUUUUUAUUCGAUUCAUAUAUAUAUAUUACACUAUUCUAAGAUAUUUCUAAAUUCUCAAAAAAAAAAAAUUUUUUUUCAACAUUAUAACAAAGUAGACGCGUAAUCAUCAAAUUUCAUACACACAAUAUGAGUCACGUUGCAUACCAAUUUCAUACAACUUCAAGAGCCAAACAAUUCACGAAUACAUUCAAUAUUUUCAUACAUAACUCAAAUUUCAAUCUUUAUAAGCAUGAAAGAAGACAAUACAACAUUACACAAAUUAUUGUAACCACAUAGCUAAUAGCUCAACCCUUAGUUUAGAUUCAACUUAACCUUAGUGGAUUGUAGACCUACCACGUCUAAUAUUAAAUCUAAUAACAUGAUCAUUACUUAAGUACAUCAAUAGCUCUUAAGUAUUCUAAAUGAUCUCAAACAUUUCAUACAUUGGCUUUUCUAAUAACCUAACAACUAGUUAUCCUUAUCCUGUUGGACAUUAGCCCCAAAUAAUCCUCCAAUAAAACUUAAGAAGCCACAAUGUCAUCAAGAACUCACCUCACAUGGCAAAUUCACCUCAAAACAGAAUUGGCACUAAUCUUCAAGGUCUCACUAUUGGCUCUUCACCAUUAACUUUCAAAAGCUAGACUUGGUCCUUUCAUUUCAUUUUUCCAAAAUUAAUCGUGCUUUCUAGUCACGUCAUAAUGCAGUAUACUGGAUUCGUUUCAAUUGCAAAUACUCCAUUAAAUGUAAUAUUUCGUAUUCGGGUACAAGAAUCCGAAAAUAAGAUGAUUCACAACUCAAGCUGGCCAGUCCCAAGCAUGAAUCACCUAAAUUUGAGAUUCCUACCCAACAUACAUAUCUAAUAUCCCCAACUAUAGACUUUUGUUCCACACUUAACAAGCCAAUCCCCACAGUCCGAGAAUCUUUUCCCGGUUUGAGCUCGAUAAGAGCUCUGAUACCACCUGUGGCGACCCCACUUCCCCCUGAGGCGAACCAAAGGGUUGGCGGGCCGUCUGCCCAACUCUCGCCAGGACUCAUGCGAGCAAUCUAACCCGAAUCCUUUCGAAGAAUAACCUAAUAUAUUACAAAACAAUUUUUUUCCCGAAUAGGAUCAUCCUUAAAGCCACAUUAACUUCAGAGAUAGCAGUGAUAAAAUAACCAGUCGGUGCUCUUAAACGUCCUACGUGCUACGUACCAAAGUAUAAAGUCGCACCAAUCCGGAUAGAUACAUACAUAAAUCCCAAAUACAAACUUACAAACCAAGUAAUCGAAUUAGGGUUUACACAUUUUCCAGCUUCAAGUAGCAAUCCAAAAAGAAAAGUACAUUAUCCCAAAAAAAAAAACACAUUACAGCCCACAGAAUAAGUUAUAGUAGUCAAAUACAAUACAUAAGGAAAACAUAAGUAAGCAUCCAGCUUUCAGUUUCCAGGACCUGUUAAGGAAAACAAUAAACGUGGGGUGAGCUAAAGCUCAGUGGUGCCCCAAAUCAUGCAAUCACUUAAAUCAAACAACGGAUAAUGACUUAAUAAUUUUAAACAGUUAGGAAAGCGUAUAACAGCACAAUGUAGGAUACAGGGGCUCUCAGGAGCCAUUCUCCUUGCUUGAUCAGAAAUUACCGUAGUCGACCCUCCGUCAACUCUCACAACUUAAAGUCCAUGUAGAUACUCUUAUUUUUCUUAGCUCCGGCCACCGAACAUACCCCAGCUCCGGGCCCGCACGACAAAAUAAAUGAGAGCGGUAAUACUCGAGUAUACCUGGGACUGGUCGAGAGAUUUCCUCAACGACGUUGCGUCCAGCGAGAGAUUAGUAUAGACUGGUCGAGGGAUUCACCCAGCGACGUUGCGUCCAGCAUGAUAUUAGUACAAGCAGGAUAUUCACGAAAACAUUUCAAGCAAGUCACCACUCGAACGGCUAAUGUGGUAAAGUACACAUAGCUCACUUCGAUGGAUCAAAACCAUAUUUCCAAAUAUCACAUAUCAAGCCGAGAAAGCGCAUUAAUCAGGUAAGCAUAGAUCAAGCAGGGACACUCACCAAGAAUGGAGUUCAGAUAUCAAGUUGGGAAUCGAAUUCUGCGUCCUCGAAAUAUCCUAAAACCAAAAAUUUGAAACUAUAAGUUUCUACUCAGUUUUUUAAGCUUAUAGCCAUUGAGGUAUAUUUAAUAUACUACUAGUUCACUUUCCCUUUGAAAGAUCAAGGGUUCCUUAGAUUAAAACUUGACAACAGUAGAAAAGAUAUUUCUUAUGGUUUUCCUUGAGGUACUUUUCUAAAAUAAAGUAACUAGUAUUAUUUUAUUGAAAUAAGUCAAUAAACCUCUGAAUAUCAAAGCUAGAAAGUUACUUUGAACAUUUCUCUAAAGAUACGGCUUUUUGCAAGAUUUAUUUCCAAAAACUAUUUUUCCUAAAAAAAUAGAGUUUUCUUGCCGAGCAAGUCUCCCAGGCUUUUCGCUAAAAUUUGUAAAACUCGUAUUUUGAAAUUUUUCCUAAAGUUAGCUAUCCAAUUGUAAAGCUUAAGGAAAGAAAAGAAAUUGAAAUAAGACCUAGAAUUUUCAAAAGUUAUAGCAUUAAAAUACUAUAGCUAUCAAGACUAGCUUGAGCUAAAGGAAAUUAUCGGGUUGAAAGUUUUAGGCAAAACACUAGAUAUUGAGUUUUUAUAUUAUACUACUAGCUGGAAAAUAUUUUUGAUUACUUUGACCACAGACACUCGAGUUCGCAAGAUCGAUACAACUUCCACAGUUCCGAUUCCAUCAUGAAAUCAUAAUAUGGAUCAAAAUAUGGCGAAAAUUAUAUAACAAAUUACUAGGGUUUCGUCAAUCAUUAGCCCUAGAUUUCAACAAGUGCAUUUCUGAAUAAAAUAAAAUGAUCAACCAAGGCUUCAUCAAUCAUUAGCACUUGGUUUCAGCAAGCCCAUCAUAAGCAAAUAAAAUAAAAGUAAAGCCUCCAAGACAUUCCAACAAUUUACUUUCGUCACCCUGUAAUACUUGUAAAAUCAUUCAAAUGGCCAAGGGCUUCAUCAAUCAUUAGCUCUUGACAAUAUCAACCACUUCCAACCACAAUUUAAUCAAGAAUUUAAACUACAGGUAAGCUAAAAUCUCAACCCAAAACCCAAUUUCUAUUUCUCAAAGAAACAGGACAUUCAUGCAAAACAGUCCACUUUAAAAAUUCACAGACAGUAGUACACAUGGAGGAAAAAUACGAAAUUUCUACAGGACAAAGGCCUAUGAUUCUAGUUUCAAACGCCACUGAUGGCGCCUUAAACGGAUUUUCCUACACCAAGAUAUCAACAUUUUAUUGAGACUGGUCAGGGUAUCCAAAAAUCUGAAAUUUCAAUUUUUCACUUGUGAAAAUUCCUUUUUCUCUUUUAACACCAAAAUGUUUUUAUUCAAACCAUCUUUAUACUUCUUGUAGAACUUCAAAACAACAUUUUCCAGGCAUUGCCAUCCAUUAUAUGUCCAAGAAAAUUUCCAAAAAUCCAAGUUGAUAUUUCAACUCAACUUUCGGCAGCCACAAGAAAGUUUCCAGCAUUUGUAUACCCACAUGUUUGGUUAAAUCAUUCAAGAUAUCAAAUAUUUCCUUGCUAAACAAAUUAUACAAUUUAAAACUUACAACCCUUUUGUACUUCCAAACCAUCAUACUUCCAGGAAAAUAAAAUAAAUUACCAAAAAAAAACCAAUUAAACUCCAAAGACAAACUGAAAUUGCUGGUUCAACCUGGCUAGCGGUCUCCAACAUUUUCCCAGCAACCAAUACGCUUUAAAUCAAAUUUUCCCUUGGUUUAAACAUGGUGCUAGGUACUCAAUUUCAGCAUAUAAACACCUAGCUAGUUGUUAAAAAUUUCCACUUCAAAACCAGGUUCAUAUAACAAUUUAAAAAAAAAAAUCAGAAAUCUCAUCCAACUAGUUACGGUUGAAUCAUGCAUGAAGGCUUUCUGUUUUCAUUUCAUUUUAUGGUUUUAAACAUGCCUUUAACCUCUCAAUUUCCUUAUAUACUUAUCUGGCUAGCAAGUAAACGUUUCCAGUUCAGAAAUCAAGCUCAAACAACAACCGUUAACAUCAAAAUUUUCCAAAAUUUCCCUGCUUGACCCGGUUGAUCAUGCCCUGAGGCAGAUUGCACUCUUAAUUUUAUUUCCCUGUUUUAACAAACUAAUCGGCCCCAUGUAGAGCCUAAUUACUUGUUAUUAGCUAUCUAAUUAUGAUUAUAAGCUUAAACCACAAAAUUAACACCAAAUAAACCAGAUCAAAGCGGAAAUAUCAAGUCAAAUUCUCGGCAGAACUUUUACUUCCAAAGCAGAAUUUUUCUAAGACUUUGAUUUCAUUAACCGGCUGCCUAAAAUUACAUGCAACCUCUGAUAAGACUUCCUCUGCUAAUACUUAACUUAAUUAGCCCAGAAAUUUACCUCAGAUACACUCCAAACCUACGCACAGAAAUCUGGAAUUUUCUUCUUUCCUCUCGGCUCUCACGCACCCUGUUUGGUCCUGCGUUCAAUUUGCAGUUGGAAAUGGUGUUGUGAUGAAGGUGGUUGCAGCUGGUGGAUGUUGGUCUGAGGUUGACAAAGGUAGUGUUGUUUCCCUGGUCUCUUCCCUCAGCCUACGGACAGAGUAGAGACAAAAUGAAAAUGCAGCUCGCGGCUUUUCUUCAGUCGAUACUCACGAGGAGCAGCUCUCCCUCUCUUGCUCUCGGAUGCUACCUUUUCACGAUGAAGAUGGAGUGCAGUGGUUUCGGUGGAGUUGUGCAGAAAAGAAAUGGAAUUUGAUGAAGGUGGUGUCUCGGUAUUUAGAAAGGAGAAAUGGUUUGCGGUUUGGUUUUGUGCAGAGAAGGAAUUGGUAUUGUGUGUUGUGGUUGUGAAAUAGAGCAAAUGGUAUCGUGGUUUUGUGAUAUGAAUUGGAUUGGUAGUAUGAAGAAAUAUUGUGGGGCCGUGGUUUUAAGAUGUGAAAUAGAUUGAGUGGUAUUAGGAAGUAUUGUGGUUUGAGACGUGAAACAAAGAGAAUGAUACAAGUGCCGCUGUUUAGGAGAAUGGUUUGCGUGUAAGAGCGGCUUGCGUACAAUUUUGGUAAUAACUGCGUGAUUUGAUUUGCAGUCAGACGUCUCGUUUGGUUUGCAUGGAAAGGUAAGGUAAGGGUAUUUUAGUCUUUUCACUUCGCUCCUUAAUCUCAACUUAAUUUCGCAAAUCCGACUUAAUUCUAAAAAUUAUCC